AAAUCAGGAGCUGAAAUUUGAGCUGCUGAAAAUGAAGACGAGGUUGAUAGAAAUUGAAAAACCAAAGUCAAAUACAUCAGCCUCAAGCAGCCCUUUGGUCAUUACUCAGCCAUCUGCUGGUAAACCUCCUUUGCCAAGAAAAUCUAACUUCAUGAGCUCAGUAUCGAAAAAGCUCGGAAGAUUUAUUCGAGCGGAUGGACUCACGCAUGGCAAAGCCCGAAAUAAACCAAGUAAAGAUAGACGUCAUUCCAU
rnacentral:misc_RNA from 1 species